UCAUGGCACAUGAUCGAAUAUCACAUCUUUACUAUAUAAUAGGAGUUCUAUACAAAAUAAAUAAAUAAUUACAUCAAAAGGAGAAAACGGUCCAACAACCCAAAGUUGACUGAGAGACGACGACCUAGAUCUCUCACGAACACAUCGCAGCAUCCUCCAUGCGCCUUAUCCUGUGGUACCUGUUCUUGACCUGUGGGGAGUGUGAGACAACAAGAGUGAGCUCACAUACGUUCAUCGCUCAACAAGUUGUGGGGAAUAAUGUGCAUGAACUCGCCAAAGGUGGGAGCUCACGUGAAGUGUAAGGCUUACCAAAGAGGAUGGUUAGAGCUGAGCAUUGCUUUUAAAGUUGGUCAAAAUUUUAUUAGCAGUUACUAAGUAUAAGUAAAUACCAACCCAAUUAAGUAGUAGAACAAAAGUAACAACAUCACCUGCGAUGCAAUGCAUAUGACAAAUUGAAUUUAGUUCCAUAAAUUAAUCAUGUGAGGGUCCGAGCUGCUCAUGACUGUGAGCACGGCUAGUAUACCAGUUUUACACUCUGCAGAGGUUGCGCAUCUUUACCCACAAGUCAUGUUACCCAUCUGCCAAGGGAUCGCGACUUCCCGUACACCUCUACCAAGGAGGUGAGGCAGGGUAACACUACGAGGCCUUUAGAAAGUUCCACUAGCUUCAGAAAACCCGCUACAGUUUAUAGGAAGCUCCAAUGCAGGGAUCCCUUGCCUGACCGCCAUCGCAGCAAAAUCAACCAAGGACCUCCCUACACUGACCACUCCCCUACUGCCCUUGCCCCUUUCGGGUAAGGUAGUCCUCCACUAACUUUCCUAAUUAAUCAGCCAAGGGCGUCCAUAAACCCUUGUGGUAGCACUGUUUUCCGGGUGGUCGCUCCAUGUUCCAAUUAACAUAAUGAUCUUAUCAUGAACAGUAAAUAACAACGGAUAACAAAAGUAUAAUCAUGAAUAAUGUAUCUUCAUACCCAAAACCACAUAAAGCACUAGCAAGUACUACCCAAAAAGUUCAGUGGUAAACAAGGUAUAAAGAUAGACAAACUAGGGUAACCUAUUGGGUCCCAUCAAAAUUAACCUAUGCAGAUCAUUAUGAUUAAUUAGAACAUGAGUGGGUAAAAUGAAGUGAUCAAGGGCACAACUUGCCUGGGACUUGAGAUUCCAGGUACCAACUUGCUCUUCAGAUGACUCGUGUCCUCACCGCUAAACGUAGCAAUACAGACAAACAUGUAUAGGCAAAAUUAACAUCACACCAAACAUAAGAAUAAACUACGUAAUAAUAAUCUACGCGUCGCAACGAGAUCGUGGGAACAGGAACCACUAAAUUCGGAGUUACGGUUAAGAAGCUAUGAUUUAUUGAAGGUUUAAGUGUCGGAUACAAAAGAAACUAGGUACAUAAUUUUUAAUCUAUGUUUCAUGACAAACUGAGGUUACUAGAUGAUCAACAGUAUUAAAAUGAAUUUAAUGCAACUGGAAUAGAUCAAUUUGGAGUUAAAAUGGAUUUAAUAUGAAUUAACCAAGUUUCAAGAUUUAUUUUUGUGCUAAAAUCCUUUUCCUAAAUUAAUUUAUCCCCUAAUACUCGCUGGCGGGACUGGGGACACUAUUCUGCGGAAGAAUAGGGGGUUCUGCGUAAAUUCCAGGCUUUAAAAGUAAUACUUUUAUUGUUGAGGUGGACUGCGGGUUUAUUAUAACAACACCGAGGGGCUCUUUAGAAAGAAAGCCAGGGCGAAGGGGUAUAGUCGAUCUUGGGCCACACGAUAGAAACCGGACGGCCCAGAUUAGACACUGAUCAAUCCAAACCGGUACGCACCACUGGCCGUUGGAUCAGCGCUUGAUGGCUCAGAUUAGACUAAGCUCAUUAUGAACCCGCGAACGACGUAAACCGCACGAUCGCGAUCUAGCGUACAGGAUUCCUUGGACCGAAACGUUAUUCCCUGGUUCAAUCCGGACCGAUCAUCCUGAGAUCAACGGUAACGGCGCUUUCUUCUUCCCAUCGCCCACGCUAAGACCCGAGGCGGCGGCGCCCGAUUACUCCAGCGAGCCCGCCGGGGCUGGGCACCAUGGUGUCCAACCAAGACAUUGAACCAGUGCAAUUCUACGAGGAGGCUAUGACGAACACAAUGGUUGGCUUCCUACCGGUCGCCGCGCAGCGGAGCAGGCUGCCCACGGUGACUGACCCGCCGGCGUUGGGCAUAGAUGCCUAGGGGCACCACACCACGAAUCGCCGUGAGCAAAACAUAGGAUGACGCAAGGAAAAUAUGUGAUGGCGGAACUCACCGGUGGUUUAAGUAGUACGGUUCCCGGCCACGGUAGCCCACUGGUUCGCGACAGCAUAACACCGGAGCAAUGGUUGGCGAGUUGGAGCACGGGAGCAGGCCGGGUUAGCGUGGUUGGCCGCUGGGCAGGGACGAGCACAGACAUGGCCAGAUGGAAGAUGGAUGCAGGAUCUGCCCAUGGAGGUGCAGAGGCACGGCUCCAUGGCCAGGAGAUGGAUUUAUACCGCCCAGACCUUGACUCCGAGCGGCCAGCCGGCACGAGAAAGAUUUUUUUAUGCGAGCUAUUUUGUUGCUGCAUGCGGCCAGGCGGGGGAGUUCGCGGAGCAGUUGGCAACUAACGCGGCGAGAAAGAUAGACCUGGGAACGAGUUUGCAUGCGUACAGGCAUCGGAGACCGGCACCGAGGCCCCACUGAAC
rnacentral:lncRNA from 1 species